UGUCCUGAAUUGACCAAUUGCUCUCCGUUGAAUCUUGAUUUUCACCAAUAGAAGGGGAUGUUUAAAUUAGAUCAACCAGUGAUCAACCAGUUCUCUAAAAUAGCUCAGAGGUGCAUCUCAUGAAUCUUCAGUCGGCAAGCAUGUAGUGACAGAGCACAACAGUGUUACGAUCUGGCGAUGGAGGAUCAACAAGGAGAUGAACGGAGUUAACAGCUGAUAAGAAGAAGAGGAGUAAGAGGUGGAUGGGGAGGAAAGGCAGAGGAGGAGAGCUCCGUCGAAGCCUGUUUUUACUCAACGCUUUGGUGAGCUCUGGGCUCCUCCGCUGUCACUCAUCCAUCCAUCAUCCAUCCAUCCAGUUUGGGGAGGCUGGGAAGCAUGGAGCCUACGCCAAGGGGCACAGGACGCAAGCCAGGGGACGUCCCGGAUGCAAUGGGCAGUGUCAGGACUGCAGGAGGAAAUCACUGUACAAAAUGGGGAGGACAGGAGUGGGACUCGAACCCUCCCUAAACUGGCAAGAGUGCCACCCACUGCACCAGUACAAAAUAAAAUGCGACUUAAUUGUGUACCUAUGAUCAUACUGCAAUACUACAAAAGACGUCUCCAGUGCCCCCCACUGGAACAUGCCACAGUUCGCAGAGAUAAGACUCUUUGUGUGUGUGACUGUGCCUUGCAUGUCUAUGAAUGCAUGUGGAAAGGUGAAGGAGGGAUGCAGGAUGAGUUUAAUGGUGUCUUGUUCACUCAUUCAUCUUUUAUGUAUUAUCCCAGUCCUACAAGUGACAGUAAGACCAGCUGGAAGCCCCCAUGUCACUCACUUCUGGAGUGUGGGUUUGAACCUCACCCCUACUGUUCUCCCUGUGUCGCAUGGGUUCCCUCUCAGUGCUCCUUUCUCUGCCCACAGCCCAAAGAUGAGCAGUCAGCCUAACUGGUAUCUCUGAGUUUAUGUGCCUUCUGAGGAAAUGCCACCCUGUGCCAGGCAUAUCUCAGCCUUGUGCCCAGAGAUGCCAAGCAUAGGCCCUCAACCCCCCUAUGACCUGGAGGUGAGCUAUUUGCAUAACCAGUUAAUAGAGAAAGCGCUUCAAGUCAAACCCCAAAGUACCGAAGUACUAAAAGAAGUAUCCAGUCGGUUUGGCACUUUUGGUCCUGGUACUCAUCUGGAAGUCAAAGGAAAAGGUAAAGUAUUGAAAUGACUACACCGAAAGUACAGUACCUGGCACGCUGCAAAAGCGCCCUAUAAGUACCGGACAUGUGAGCGUCCAUGCAUUUCGGAGGUUGCUCUGUUCAUAGUCAAAAAGAUGAGGGUAUAUAGAACACGGUGUGAGUACGCUAUUUGCACGACUGACCCACCACCAUCCGGUGCUCUGUACCAGGCCUGAGCAUGCCUGCCCUCUGCUGGCCGUUACUGCCUUCUCUUGUAGCUUUCCAGAAUUGUUUCACUUGAAAUUCACCAUUCAAUGCAAUACGUUUUAUACUUGAAACUUGGAUGGUGAGAGAUCGCCCCCUUGAGGCUGAGUCUUUGAAUUACAUUCUUUGGGUUAUUGCAUUUUUUCCAGACUAUCUCCAAACCAUAACGUUAUUCAUAUUAAUUGAAUUGAAUUUAAUUUAUACUUCAUCGCCAAUAAAUGUGAAUAUUAUUAAAAUACUCAAUGUAAAAAAUAAUUACAUUCUGGAAGUCCGCUUUGAAACGUCUAAAAUAAUAAUC